rnacentral:rRNA from 1 species
GUGGGGAAUAUUGGACAAUGGGGGGAACCCUGAUCCAGCCAUGCCGCGUGUGUGAAGAAGGCCUUUUGGUUGUAAAGCACUUUAAGCGAGGAGGAGGCUACCGAGAUUAAUACUCUUGGAUAGUGGACGUUACUCGCAGAAUAAGCACCGGCUAACUCUGUGCCAGCAGCCGCGGUAAUACAGAGGGUGCAAGCGUUAAUCGGAUUUACUGGGCGUAAAGCGCGCGUAGGUGGCCAAUUAAGUCAAAUGUGAAAUCCCCGAGCGUAACUUGGGAAUUGCAUUCGAUACUGGUUGGCUAGAGUAUGGGAGAGGAUGGUAGAAUUCCAGGUGUAGCGGUGAAAUGCGUAGAGAUCUGGAGGAAUACCGAUGGCGAAGGCAGCCAUCUGGCCUAAUACUGACACUGAGGUGCGAAAGCAUGGGGAGCAAACAGGAUUAGAUACCCCUGUAGUCC